rnacentral:rRNA from 1 species
UACGUAGGGGGCAAGCGUUGUCCGGAUUUAUUGGGCGUAAAGAGCGUGUAGGCGGCCUGACAAGUCUGCUGUGAAAACUCGAGGCUCAACCUCGAGAUGUCGGCGGAAACUGUCUGGCUAGAGUCCGGAAGAGGUGAGUGGAAUUCCUGGUGUAGCGGUGAAAUGCGCAGAUAUCAGGAGGAACACCGGUGGCGAAGGCGGGUCUCUGGGCCGAUACUGACGCUGAGGAGCGAAAGCGUGGGGAGCGAACAGG